CAGAUAUACUUUUCAGCAAACAACCCAGCAUUGACUCCUGAUCAUAGAGCCAUGUUCUAACUACUGAUACAUCUUACAGCAGGAUAAUGUUUAUUCAUUUAUUUUAAAAUUAUACCUCAGGGAAGAAAUCUAAUACCUCUUUAAAUUGUAGGGCUUUGCAAGUACCCAAAGUGCAGGAGGCUGUGGGAACUGAUGUGUAUCUUGAGUUGAAGGCUUUCUGGAUAACAGCUGCAUUUCAGACCAAAAACCGUGGCCCAGUUCUUACAUUGAUGAAGACGGGAUAGCAAAAACUAGCAGCAGUCUCCUGGCUGAAAGUAUACUGUUUAAAAACAUUAUUAAAUCUGUAUUCGGAGCAGCUUAACAGAGUUUCUCAGUAUUUUUAGGAGUGAAGCAGUAAACCAAAUAUUUCAUCAUUUUCAUUCUUAAUAGGGUCACUCUGUUUCUGGAUGGCUUUGAUCUGCAUAUUCUGAAAAGUAAUCUAACAUAACCCUUGAUUCUAAGACCUAAUUUUAAAUGUACACUAAGAGAAUCUUAGGAAAUCCUCUUGUAUUGUAAUAAGUUUGGUUUUCUUAAAUGAAUUUCUGCAAUAACACAGUAUAAAAUAGUUAUUUGAAAAUUUUGGCUUAUCCAUCCGGGACCAUGAAAAAGUAAUUUGGUAAAGUACAGAAAAUUCUCACAGCUACUCAAACUGUGAAAUACAAAUGUUCUUUCAUACAAU
rnacentral:lncRNA from 1 species